UCCUUUUCCAUGCGCUACUGUUACACACGAUUCCUAAACCAUAAAAAUCCACCAGCUGCAUGCCUGCAUCUCUCCUGUCCCGAUCCCUCCAGCUUCAUCUCUCUGCCUCCUGAUCUACACUCGCCGCCGGCUGUCUCGAGGCAUGACCACCCGCACCAAUCAGGACCAGCAGCGGUGGACAACUGCCACAGGGCAGUUGCUCGCUCGCCGGCUCGCUAAUGGAUAGGUCUUGGCCGUGGGCUAGACAGCGCGCCAGAUUUCUCCGAUUGCUAACUUUCAAUGGUUCUCCCGCUACCUACCUACAUGAAUCGCUGAUGAGUUGUUCUUACCCUAUUGUGUAUUGUUUUCCCCACUAUUUUGAAUCACUUUUUCUUUGUAGAGGACACAUGCGGCUGAUGGAUCCGGCCAUGGAUUUAGUAUGGCAUGAGAAGAUAUGUUCCUUUCCAUGCAGCCCGACGCCUACCCAUCCGCUGAUGCGUGACAGGACCAUGUCUUUCGCUAAGGAAUCAAACAAAAUCCGCUGCCGGUCGUCAGACUUUUCUCCUGCUCACCACCCACCACUGUCGCCUCGACCCGUGCUGCUUCCCGUCGCCACCAAGAGGUUACACUGAGCCGAUCACCUUCGUUCAGAGCUACAUUGAUGCUAUUCUUCUGCUUUAACCAAGGCUGAAAAAGUGGCAAGAUCACACAAUAAUAAAAUGGCGAAGUGGUUACCAUCACCCGAGGGAAUGAUUAAAUCAAUCUGGACGGGGCCGUGGUGAAGAACCUCGGCCAAGGAGCGGUACCGGCAAUAUCUCGGGAAGUUGGGAGGUGUGGUGUGAUGGAUCCUGAUAUAGUGGAAGGCAUAGCCUGCUGUGAGGUUUGGGUGCUUGCUCAACGUUGAUUAGAAUGGCCUCUGAUGCAGUGAAUGUGGUGAGGGAUAUCAACUUUGGGAGUUAUGCCAGUACAACUCGUUUCUAUAUGAAAUCUCACUGAGGAAAGAGCAGUUUCUGGAGACGACGUAUAUUUGUGUGCAGAAGGUCGUACGUCAAACAACGAAACUCAUCAGCUAGAUCCUUUGUUUAUUUAUUAUAUAAUGGUAGGCAUAUUUGGCUGCUAGAGUCUAAUGAUUCUAUGAUUGUACCUUAGGGUUAUUGCUAUAUACAAGAGCCGGACAUUUUCCCUUAAAAAGGUAGAUCAUUUGGAAUCCAGGAUGA